AUAACCCUGUGUGUCUGAGUGUGAGUUUCUUGAUUCUUUAGCCCCCCUCUCUCUCUCUCUCAGGUUCGUGUGAGGGGGAUGGCUGUUGUUCCAGGAAGCAGCUCUGCAAUGUGACUGUACUGCAGUCCUUCUCUCAGGGGUUCCAGUUCCGGGAGCCCUGCCUGUCCUGGUUCCCCUUCCUGCCAUGCUGGCGAACUCGCUACAGGGUGGCAUACCGGCUGGCAGUGCGGCAGGAGAGCUGCAACGGGACGUCCUGCUGCCCCGGGUACAGACCGGCCGGGAGCAGGUGCGUGGCUGAAAACCCCCUCGCCACCGAGAGAAUGGACGAGACAAAACCCAUCAGAACCACUCCCAGCCCAGCAGCCACUGCCAGCGGAGCUGACCACACACCCAGCCCAGUACCAUCUCCCAGGACAGCAACCACUGCCAGCGGAGCUCACCACACACCCAGCCCAGUACCAUCUCCCAGGACAGCAACCACUGCCAGCGGAGCUCACCACACACCCAGCCCAGUACCAUCUCCCAGGACAGCAGCCACUGCCAGCGGAGCUCACCACACACCCAGCCCAGUACCAUCUCCCAGGACAGCAACCACUGCCAGCGGAGCUCACCACACACCCAGCCCAGUACCAUCUCCCAGGACAGCAACCACUGCCAGCGGAGCUCACCACACACCCAGCCCAGUACCAUCUCCCAGGACAGUUACUGGGACUCCAACUCCAACCAGAGGGGGCAGCAUAGAGACAGUGCCCUCCAGAGGCCAGAGCAGCACUCCCCCACCCUCUCCUCUCACGCUGUGUGCUUGCAUGGUUAGUCUUGUGGCCCUGCUCUCUGCACCCGGAUUGCAAGCUGUUCACUGAUUUAUUCCUGUCAAUGGUUACCGUACCAUAAGCUGUGCUUGAGUACUUCAUGAUUUAUUCAUUUUUUGACUAAAUUAAAAGGAAUAGGAUUUAGUUUUUGGGUGUUUGAUGAAUUUGUUGGUUUAUCUGUGAAGUGUGCAGCGCAGGGGUCACCCCAGUAAACAGCGUUGCAGCUGGACGCUGUCUCCCUCCUCACACCCGCUGUGGUCCGUCCCCUGCAGGCAGCUCGGAUCAUCUCUGAUCCCCUCCAGCUCUUAAUGGAGAGGGAUGAGAGGGAGAGAGAGAGAGAACACACUGUACCAGGGCUGCCCAGCCCACCCGGUUCACUGAGACACGCAGUCUUACCCUGGGCUGGUUCAGCCACACAGCAAAGAAACGCCCGUGUUGAAACAGGACAUGUGUGUUUAAUGCACACUGCCUGCAGCCUGGGCAAGCCCCUGUCAAUC